rnacentral:rRNA from 1 species
CCUACGGGAGGCAGCAGUGGGGGAUAUUGCACAAUGGGGGGAACCCUGAUGCAGCGACGCCGCGUGGGUGAAGAAGCGCCUCGGCGCGUAAAGCCCUGUCAGCAGGGAAGAAAAUGACGGUACCUGAAGAAGAAGCCCCGGCUAACUACGUGCCAGCAGCCGCGGUAAUACGUAGGGGGCAAGCGUUAUCCGGAUUUACGGGGGGUAAGGGGGGCGCAGCCGGCGAUGCAGGCCAGGAGUGAAAGCCCGGGCCCAACCCCGGGACUGCUCUUGGAACUGCGUGGCUGGAGUGCAGGAGGGGCAGGCGGAAUUCCUGGUGUAGCGGUGAAAUGCGUAGAGAUCAGGAGGAACACCGGUGGCGAAGGCGGCCUGCUGGACUGCAACUGACGUUGAGGCCCGAAAGCGUGGGGAGCAAACAGGAUUAGAUACCCGAGUAGUC